rfam:Plautia stali symbiont DNA, complete genome.
CAGCACGCUGGUCGCUGUAAGCCAGGGGCGGUAGCUUG